AGUGAAAGAGAUCUUUGGUUUUGCCUUUGCUGACUGCUGAUCUGAUCAUCUCAAGUCUGGUGACCUGCUGCAGAAAACCCUCUCCCUCUAUCAUUAACAAGCAAUUCAGUCUGUCCUAUCACUCUCCCUCUCCCUGCUCCAUCUUUUUUGACAAGCCAUU